rnacentral:ncRNA from 1 species
AAUUGAAACUAGCGGGUGUUUUUCAAUUUCUGAAUAAGAAACUGAAGAACUGAGAUUUAACCGUUUGGACUCGAUCAGGAUCAUUCUUGCGUGAGGAAGUUUCUAUUGUUAAUU